GAGAGAGAGAGAGAGAGAGAGAGAGAGAGAGGGGAGGAAUGGAAACUCUCUCUUUUUUCUAUCUCUAUCUUUAUCUCUCCCUUUCUCUAGUUACAUACAUACAUACGUAUAUAUAUAUACAUAGACGAACGAAGCGCAAAGAGCUGACAUUCACCCGUUUACCAGCUUCGCAUCCAUGAUGAAAUUCGAAUAGACCGACGAGUGGCAGCCGUCCUUGAGCCAACUUCUGCCUAUAUAGCCAAGGACCCAACUUGAUCGCCAUAUUUGAAUGUGCUUAACGAUUAGAAAAAUUACGACGUUGCGGAAUGUCAUUGCCGUUCGAAUCGCGAAUUGAAUCGCGCGUGGAAUGAUCGAUGAGUUCGAUAAGAAAAGCAGAAGAAAAAGAAGAAGAAGCAGCAGAAAAAAAGCUAAUCUUUUCCAAACGUAAACGUGAACGUGAAAGAAACACGAUAGUCGAAUAUAUGUGUAACGUGUUCCACUGUAACGAAGAAGGGGCAUUUCCCUGAGAUAAGAGAGACAAAGGAGAAAGAUAAAUGGGAUCCUGUGUGUAUUGCCGAUACAGCAUGUAAGUAAAUAGGUACAUGGAAUAGAUAGAUCAUCGGAUCGGAUCGGAUCGUCUAUUAAAUCAAUCUAUUACUCUUUAUUUCUAUCUUCGUCCGAUGUUUCUUUCACGAUGAUAAAAUCUAACGACGAAGACUAUACCGAUUACAAAGACUACUCGUAGAAAAGAGAAAGAGAAAGAGAGAGAGAGAGAGAGAAAGUAAGAAAGAGAAAAAGCUUAACAGGAACAAUAGGCACGUGUCCAUGUCCGAUAUUAUUCCUGAUUCUCGAAAAUUGCUUUCACGGGAGAAGAAUCACCAGGGGUGCAAUCGGUGGUAGCAAUUAUAUUUUCCAUUUUGCGAAUCUCACAAUCUUUAGCGUGCGAAGGUGAAACUAACGAGACGCAAAACUGGUUCAGGCAUAAUGCCUAAGGGAGGGUGUCAAGAGUUCUUCUGUUAUUCGGCUCAUACAUAAAUAGUAGGUGUGUGUACGUACUGUAUGGAUUUCUUUUAUUUUUUAUUUUUCUUUUUCUUUUUGCUUUUUCUUUUUUUUUUUGGUUGGUUGGUUGGCAAGCUGCAAAUAGGAAUGUUUGCAUAAGAAAAGAGAUUAUAAGAGUCUGUAAACGUCAGUUACAAACAAAUAAAUUUACAUUUAAUUAGUGCUAAGUUAAGUUAAUGUUAAAUAUGACGUAGAAAAAGGGUAGAAAGAAGAGUUGAAUCCUUUUCUCUUUGGACCUUUUUCUUUUGCGUUUUCUUUAUUAAAAAUUCUUAUUGCAAAAAUAUCAUUGUCUUUAGCAUGUAUACAAAUAUCUGCAAGGUGUACAAUGGCACGUAGUUAGUAAAUGUUUCAAUAUAAGUUUCUUUGGAAUAUAAUCUUCAAAAGAUAAAAAGAAAACCCACACUUUGUAGAAAUAUAUAUAUAUAUCUCAAUAAUGAUAUAUAUCAAUAAUUAGGCUUAAUAACAUCCAUUAAUUGCAAAUGUGAAAAGAAAACUCUAUUAAUAAAACUAUGUACACUAUACAAGAUUUUAAUUCUGUCAAAUAAAUAUUAUUAUUGUUGUUA